rnacentral:lncRNA from 1 species
CAGGCUGGUCUCUAACUCCUGGGCUCAAGCGAUCUGCCUGCCUCCGCCUCCCAAAUUGCUGGGAUUACAGGCGUGAGCCGCCGUGCCCAGGCUUAUUUUCUUACGUGCUUGUCCUAGAACAACUGAAUGUGUAAAGUGGAAAAAACAAAAACAAAACCCCACCCAGCCCAGAUAACCAUCUCUGACAUUCUGGCACAUUCCUUUUGACUGUUGCUCUGGACACUCACUUCCAUGGGCAACGAGCAGGCUUGCUGGGGUCCUGCCGGGUGCGCCUGGGGCACAGCCAGUGGGAGAACUGAUGCGGCACAGUGGCUGGCUGUGCGGGAGAGGCCAUCCCGGGUGGGCUUCCAGGGGCAGUCAGGGCGCAGCCUCUCCCGGGCCCUCAGGCCUGCGUGCAUCACUGAGCUGUCCGGGCUUCACGGUCACAGUCAUGAUGGGUGUCACCAGUGGCCAGUGUUCGGGCACACUCCCUGCAGGUGACCUGUGCGUUGCCUUGCUGUGGGCCGCGCCGUCCCUGGCCCAGCACGGUGCAUGAGCAGCCCGGGCACUCUGACUGUGUGCUUUCCAAACCCAGAAGCUGGCAGGGCGGAGAUGCUGGACCACGCCGUCCUGCUUCAGGUGAUCAAAGAACAGCAGGUGCAGCAAAAGCGCUUGCUGGACCAGCAGGAGAAGCUGCUGGCGGUGAUCGAGGAGCAGCACAAGGAGAUCCACCAGCAGAGGCAGGAGGACGAGGAGGAUAAACCCAGGCAGGGAAAAAACCUGGGAAGGAGGUGGCAGCCACUGGCACCAGCAUUCUGAAGGAAGCCAACUGGCUCGUGGCAGGGCCAGGAGCAGAGACGGGGGACCCUCGCAUGAAGCCCAAGCAAGUGAGCCGAGACCUGGGCCUUGCAGCGGACCUGCCCGGUGGGGCGGAAGGAGCAGCUGCACAGCCCCAGGCUGUGUUACGCCAGCCGGAACUGCGGGUCAUCUCUGAUGGCGAGCAGGGUGGACAGCAGGGCCACCGGCUGGACCAUGGCGGUCACCUGGAGAUGAGAAAGGCCCGCGGGGGGGACCAUGUGCCUGUGUCCCACGAGCAGCCGAGAGGCGGGGAGGACGCUGCUGUCCAGGAGCCCAGGCAGAGGCCAGAGCCAGAGCUGGGGCUCAAACGAGCUGUCCCGGGGGGCCAGAGGCCGGACAAUGCCAAGCCCAACCGGGACCUGAAACUGCAGGCUGGCUCCGACCUCCGGAGGCGACGGCGGGACCUUGGCCCUCAUGCAGAGGGUCAGCUGGCCCCGAGGGAUGGGGUCAUCAUUGGCCUUAACCCCCUGCCUGAUGUCCAGGUGAACGACCUCCGUGGCGCCCUGGAUGCCCAGCUCCGCCAGGCUGCGGGGGGAGCUCUGCAGGUGGUCCACAGCCGGCAGCUUAGACAGGCGCCUGGGCCUCCAGAGGAGUCCUAGCACCUGCUGGCCAUGAGGGCCACGCCAGCCACUGCCCUCCUCGGCCAGCAGCAGGUCUGUCUCAGCCGCAUCCCAGCCAAACUCUGGAGGUCACACUCGCCUCUCCCCAGGGUUUCAUGUCUGAGGCCCUCACCAAGUGUGAGUGACAGUAUAAAAGAUUCACUGUGGCAUCGUUUCCAGAAUGUUCUUGCUGUCGUUCUGUUGCAGCUCUUAGUCUGAGGUCCUCUGACCUCUAGACUCUGAGCUCACUCCAGCCUGUGAGGAGAAACGGCCUCCGCUGCGAGCUGGCUGGUGCACUCCCAGGCUCAGGCUGGGGAGCUGCUGCGUCUGUGGUCAGGCCUCCUGCUCCUGCCAGGGAGCACGCGUGGUCUUCGGGUUGAGCUCGGCCGUGCGUGGAGGUGCGCAUGGCUGCUCAUGGUCCCAACACAGGCUACUGUGAGAGCCAGCAUCCAACCCCACGCUUGCAGUGACUCAGAAUGAUAAUUAUUAUGACUGUUUAUCGAUGCUUCCCACAGUGUGGUAGAAAGUCUUGAAUAAACACUUUUGCCUUCA